rnacentral:rRNA from 1 species
UACAGAGGUCUCAAGCGUUGUUCGGAUUCAUUGGGCGUAAAGGGUGCGUAGGCGGCGCGGUAAGUCGGGUGUGAAAUCUCGGGGCUUAACUCCGAAACUGCAUUCGAUACUACCGUGCUUGAGGACUGGAGAGGAGACUGGAAUUUACGGUGUAGCGGUGAAAUGCGUAGAUAUCGUAAGGAAGACCAGUGGCGAAGGCGGGUCUCUGGACAGUUCCUGACGCUGAGGCACGAAGGCCAGGGAGCAAACGGG